rnacentral:rRNA from 1 species
AUACGGAGGGUGCAAGCGUUAAUCGGAAUUACUGGGCGUAAAGCGUACGUAGGCGGUUUAUUAAGUCAGAUGUGAAAGCCCCGGGCUUAACCUGGGAACUGCAUUUGAAACUAGUAGACUAGAGUAUGGUAGAGGGGGGUAGAAUUCCUAGUGUAGCGGUGGAAUGCGUAGAUAUUAGGAGGAAUACCAGUGGCGAAGGCGGCCCCCUGGACCAAUACUGACGCUGAGGUACGAAAGCGUGGGGAGCGAACAGGAUUAGAAACCCCAGUAGUCC